GACGAACGCUGGCGGCGUGCUUAACACAUGCAAGUCGAACGGAAAGGCCCUGCUUUUGUGGGGUGCUCGAGUGGCGAACGGGUGAGUAACACGUGAGUAACCUGCCCUUGACUUUGGGAUAACUUCAGGAAACUGGGGCUAAUACCGGAUAGGAGCUCCUGCUGCAUGGUGGGGGUUGGAAAGUUUCGGCGGUUGGGGAUGGACUCGCGGCUGAUGAGCUAGUUGGUGGGGUAGUGGCCUACCAAGGCGACGACGGGUAGCCGGCCUGAGAGGGUGACCGGCCACACUGGAACUGAGACACGGGCCAGGCUCCUACGGGAGGCAGCAGUGGGGAAUAUUGGACAAUGGGCGCAAGCCUGAUCCAGCCAUACCGCGUGGGUGAAGAAGGCCUUCGGGUUGUAAAGCCCUUUUGUUGGGAAAGAAAAGCAGCAGGUUAAUACCCCGCUGUUCUGACGGUACCCAAAGAAUAAGCACCGGCUAACUUCGUG
rnacentral:rRNA from 1 species